GACGAACGCUGGCGGCGUGCCUAAUACAUGCAAGUAGGACGCACAGUCUAUACCGUAGCUUGCUACACCAUAGGCUGUGAGUUGCGAACGGGUGAGUAACGCGUAGGUAACCUGCCUAUUAGAGGGGGAUAACUAUUGGAAACGAUAGCUAAUACCGCAUAACAGUAUGUAACACAUGUUAGAUGCUUGAAAGAUGCAAUUGCAUCGCUAGUAGAUGGACCUGCGUUGUAUUAGCUAGUAGGUAGGGUAAUGGCCUACCUAGGCAACGAUACAUAGCCGACCUGAGAGGGUGAUCGGCCACACUGGGACUGAGACACGGCCCAGACUCCUACGGGAGGCAGCAGUAGGGAAUCUUCGGCAAUGGGGGGAACCCUGACCGAGCAACGCCGCGUGAGUGAAGAAGGUUUUCGAAUCGUAAAGCUCUGUUGUUAAGGAAGAACGAGUGUGAGAAUGGAAAGUUCAUACUGUGAC
rnacentral:rRNA from 1 species